CACUGACUGAGGGUAUUUUCAUUUCCUUGAUGUAGCCGCUAAUGCUCUUCAGUCUUCAUUGCAUGGCACCACGAACGAAUACUGAUCAGUGAAACCUCCAGAAUCUUUGUCUUCACUACAAUCUUAAGCUACCAGAGAUCCAGCAAAAUUCGUGCCCUCCAAACCUCCAAGGUGCUUGAUAAGAUUACCAUGUGAAUUGACAAGAUCCUAUCUGUAUUGGGCUCUUUGUUCGUCGAAUCGUAAAUGAGGCUCACAGUUUCAAUCCAAUGUUGUCUGACGGCCUGUAAUCCGUAUGGCAACGUCAGUUUGGAGCUGCUCUUCGACCGUCGUAUCUGCCCACUUUGCUUGGUUACAGUCACAAGAUCAACUAAAAGAAAAGUGUUUUCCGACGUGUGAUCGUGUCCAUUGAUUUGUGAUCGUUUUGCACCACUGGUCCGUGUUGCCCUAAAUUAUUUGUUACUUUGUUCACUCAAUUCAUCAGCUGGCCUACCAGUGAACAACGAGGCUCUUCAUAUCUGCAUUCUUGCCCAAUUCUGCGCAGCUGGUACUGGCUAUAGAUUGUAUCUUUUGAAGGACAGAUUGAUUAUUCAGUUUAGCUUUAAUAUAGUUCUGAAGAUGUUGACAUGAUUUUCCUGUCUAGCUUUUAUUCAGAUUAUAUUGGAGAAUAUCAGGUUUAUCUGAUGCUUCUCACGCACACUAAAACCUAUGAUACAGUUUGUGAAAUAUAUUUGCUCCAGCAAUGGCCAUGGCACAUAUUUCACAUUA